CGGGCACCCUCGUUGCCUUCCAAGCCGGCGAGACCUUCAGCGGCACCCCGUCGACUCUCCCACGUGACCCAAGAGCAGGGCCUGAAUUCAAGAACCGAACACUCCGAGAUAACGGAACGUUUCGAUAAGGCCAUUCUUGGGACUACAAGAGGCGAUACGUUCGCACUAGCUUACCUCGUCUAAGGAGCGGCUGGUACAGAAGUGACAAUGAGCUAUCCCGGCGACAGAGCGGAGAAUAGAUUUCGGAUGGAGCAAGUGCCUCCGGCAUCGAAUGGCCAUGCGUACGCACCACCACCGGACUAUGGAGACACACCUUCAACCAUCCUCAACACCCCGUCGACUCCUGGAUUCACGACGGCGCCCCCUAUUCAAGAAGGCGACUGGUGGACGCAGACCAAGCUGUGGUACAGGCAGCAGUAUAAAAAGGCUGACCCUGUGCUUCCAGCGGUGCCGGCUUCACUAGGCCUAGCUGCGACUGCUGCGUCCCUGGCGGGCAAUCUGACUGGUGCUGGAAUGGUGAUGAUCCCGUUUGCUUUCGUAUGGAUAGGAUGGAGCGCCAUCUUUUGGCUUCCGGUGUUCGGAGUUCUCACAGUCUUUAGCGCGGGCCUGCUCGAGUCAUGCUGCGAAACGCUGGAAGAGCGUCACGAGGAGUACCGCCGGUUCCACUGGUACACGCAGUACUCGGACAUUGCGAACAGAGCCGUGGGACCAGGGCUAUCGAAGGUUGUGGGUGCCCUGCGAUUGUUCUGCGUCGUGGGACUUUGGGCUGUGCUCAUUGUGAUCGUGUCGGCCACUAUGGUUGACUUCGUGGCCCUCAUCCUACCAGUGCCAGUACCAAGGGGACACUUAUACUGCGGAUUCGUUGUUGGCUGUGGAGUGCUGUUCGUCCUCUCCAGUGGUUACCACGGCAACCUACUGCCGAUACUGGUGCGGCGUGCUAAACACGCCGGUGGCUGUGGUGCUCAUGAUUCUGUUGCUCACUGGCAUCGCGGGCAACAAGAAGAUGGCUGCAGGAACCGGCGAGGCAAUGUUUACCAUAAAGCUGUUCGACCUCGGCUCUCUCAUCGGGGACGUCUCUGGCCUGUCCAAGGGCGUCAAGGACGUUACCAGCGCCCUAUACUUUGUCAGUCUCGGGAUUUUGGUCUUCAAUUUCGCCGGCGUGUGCGAAUUCACAAACAUUCGACGUGACAUGAAGGCACCGCCUUCUUUCACCAAGGCUGCUGCCUUCGGAGUUGCUGGGAGCACGCUGGCUUUAUUCAUCGUUGGCGUAACUGCCUACGCGGUCCUUUACCCGUUCAACGGAAACGUCGUGCUGAUUCUCAACACACGAAACGUCCGGAUCGCAGCCCACUUCUUCACUGUGACGUGCAUGGGGCAGGUGUCGAACCUCAGCGACCUCAUACUGGGAGAAUACGACCACGUAGAAGAUUACGGAAAAC